ACGUAGGGCGCGAGCGUUGUCCGGAAUUAUUGGGCGUAAAGAGCUUGUAGGCGGUUUGUCGCGUCUGCUGUGAAAGGCCGGGGCUUAACCCCGUGUAUUGCAGUGGGUACGGGCAGACUAGAGUACAGUAGGGGAGACUGGAAUUCCUGGUGUAGCGGUGGAAUGCGCAGAUAUCAGGAGGAACACCGAUGGCGAAGGCAGGUCUCUGGGCUGUAACUGACGCUGAGAAGCGAAAGCAUGGGGAGCGAACAGG
rnacentral:rRNA from 1 species